rnacentral:lncRNA from 1 species
AGUAAUGGUAUAUUUGUAGAUAUAUCUUUAAUUCAAGCAAAGAAGGAAGGAGAAGAUGAUGACAAUGAAGAUGAAAGAAAUACAAAUUAAGAUAAAGAACCAAUGAGGGUAGAUCAUAAUAUGUCUAUAAUUGCUAAAAUCAACAAUAAAAAGAAUCAAGAUAUUGAAGAUGAUGAUGAUGAAGAGUAUCAACUAUUAAAUGUGAAAAAACUAGCUUUAAAAAAGAAUAAGAUUGCAAAAGAGCUUAGAGUACAAGAUGAUGAAUUUUCAUUAAAUAAAAGGAGUUAUCCUUUGAGA